rnacentral:rRNA from 1 species
UGAUCCUGGCUCAGAUUGAACGCUGGCGGCAGGCCUAACACAUGCAAGUCGAACGGUAACAGGAUAGCUUGCUAUCGCUGACGAGUGGCGGACGGGUGAGUAAUACUUAGGGAUCUGCCUCUGUGUGGGGGAUAACUAUUGGAAACGAUAGCUAAUACCGCAUAAUGUCUACGGACCAAAGCGGGCUUCGGCUCGUGCGCAGAGAGGAACCUAAGCGAGAUUAGCUAGUUGGUGAGGUAAAGGCUCACCAAGGCGACGAUCUCUAGCUGUUCUGAGAGGAAGAUCAGCCACACUGGAACUGAGACACGGUCCAGACUCCUACGGGAGGCAGCAGUGGGGAAUAUUGCACAAUGGGGGAAACCCUGAUGCAGCCAUGCCGCGUGUGUGAAGAAGGCCUUCGGGUUGUAAAGCACUUUCAGUUGUGAGGAAAGUUUAGUAGUUAAUACCUGCUAGAUGUGACGUUAGCAACAGAAGAAGCACCGGCUAACUCCGUGCCAGCAGCCGCGGUAAUACGGAGGGUGCGAGCGUUAAUCGGAAUUACUGGGCGUAAAGCGCACGCAGGCGGUCUGUUAAGCUAGAUGUGAAAGCCCCGCGCUCAACGUGGGAGGGUCAUUUAGAACUGGCAGACUAGAGUCUUGGAGAGGGGAGUGGAAUUCCAGGUGUAGCGGUGAAAUGCGUAGAGAUCUGGAGGAACAUCAAUGGCGAAGGCAACUCCCUGGCCAAAGACUGACGCACAUGUGCGAAAGUGUGGGUAGCGAACAGGAUUAGAUACCCUGGUAGU